AAAGUCUGAAAGAAUGGACUUUGGAUGCACAUCAAAAAUAAAUGGUCCCUCGUUUAUGCAAAGUUGGUUUGUUUUUUAAAUCACGGAAACGUUUCAAAAUUUUCAGAUCAGUCAGUGUUAUUAAUAUGAGCAGCAGAACUGGACCAGAGGACACAAAGAAACCAUUUGUUGAUAAAUAUUUUGAGUGUGCAGAAAACGGAAACAAAGAGGAAUUGUCAUUUUUGCUUAAAUCCACAGUGAAUGUGGAUCAGAGAAAUGAGAAAGGUUGGACUGCUUUAAUGUUUGCAGCCAGGCACGGACAGACUGGUGUUAUUGAAACAUUGCUGGAAAAAGGUUGUGAUACAAACAUUGUCAACAAAACAGGACAAACAGCACAAGAUAUAGCGCUCUUCUGGGACCAAAACCUUGCCGCAAAACUGAUAGAAGCCCACAUGAAGGAGGAAAAUCCCGAUCAGCAACUUCGGAAUUUCUUCUCCCUGAACCAUUUGGACAGGGCAUCUGAGAAGAGGAAAGAUAAGGACUGGUUACAGGCAAAGAUCAGCGAUGAAACCUCCCAGUUCUUACUGUUGUCAGAACUUAAACCUUUUGUUUUACCUAUAAAGGACAAGACUUCCAAAUGGAGAUACAGACUAUGCUGGCUUGACCACAACAAAAUUUCAUCUCAUUUAACCUCGGACACUGUUAUCUUAUUUCUUGGAAUAGACCACUCAAGUUCUCAAUCCUUAUUUGCUAUCGAUGUAUCCGGCAAAGAGGAGAGUAAAUUUAAGGAUCUGCAGCCGGAGGGUUCGUUCAUGGUGCCUUUUCCCGGCAGUCUCCAGAUGGAGCCUUCCGAUGCCGGGAUCUUUGCGGAGGCCCGGUCUAUGAUGGAUUGGUUGGAGCGAUACAAGUUCUGUGCCACAUGUGGAUCAUCGACCGAUAUCACGGAGGGCGGCCACAAAAGAGUGUGUAGAAAUCAGGAGUGCAAGUCCAAUAAAGGUGUGUAAAUGAUAAAAUAAAGUAUUGCCUUACACAGGGCUGAAGCUUUCUAAUACAUCUACAUUUGAAAGUCUGAACUUGGAUUUGCUGUUUCUGUAAGAAAAUCUUUCAAACUUAUUGUGAUACACUUACAUGUAUAAUACAUUUUGUAAGCAGGUAGUUUGUGGAAGUUUGGGGAGGCAUAGAAUUUCUCAUCUAUUCUAUGAAAUUUAACUUUAUUACCGCUACAUACCGGCUCUUGUAUUCUAUUAAAUAUCUGUAUAUGAAUACAUGUAUUUUUUGUAUAUUGAAUCCGACUUUACUUUUAUCUGUUUAUAAUUUUCAUGAUAUAGGUAUCCACAACACAGCCUACCCUAGAACUGACCCCUCCGUCAUCAUGCUAGUGAUCUCAGCCGAUGGGAAGAGAUGUCUCCUGGGAAGGAAAAAACAGUUUCCUGCCAAAAUGUGGUCCUGUCUCGCUGGAUUUAUGGAACCAGGUGAGUCAAUUGAGGACACAGUGAGAAGAGAGGUGGAGGAGGAGAGUGGAGUGAAAGUAGGUCGUGUGGACUACCACUCCAGCCAACCCUGGCCAUUUCCUGCAUCGCUGAUGCUGGGGACUAUAGCUUACGCCAAGACUGAAGACAUUAAGGUCAGAUAAAACUAUCAGCAUUUUGCUAUACAAAGAAAAUCUGAUUUAAAAAACCCAACUUUAAUUUGCUUUGAAGAUUGUUCUUGUUAGUAAUACCGUCAUGUACCAGUGACAAUACCUUGUGUGUCAUUUGUUUAAAUCUCUUUAUUUAAUCCAAGAAUUUUAUUUUAUUAUUUCUUCUCUCCUUAAAUGCUUGGCAGAUUAAAAGACAAAAUCAAUGGCACGCAUUGGUGACACCUUUUGAAUACUGUAAAACAACUUUUAUUUGCGUACGAGAAAUUUUUGCAAGGUUCACAAAAACAUCAUCGUUAAUAUUUCUCACUGCGAACCAGUCCUAAAAGCCUCUGGUGUAUUAGUUUUAGGAUAAUCUACAUUUUGGGUGUGAAAACUAGAAGCAGCAAACCAGUGUGACUCUGAUAUAUCACAAAAUAAAGUCGUCACAAAUAAAAAUUAGUUUACAGUAUUGAGUAAUUAAACUAUGAAAUCUAACCAAUCAUGGUUACAUUCUAUGGAAAGAAGUAGAGUGGACCAUAAAUCAUCAGCUUGUGAAGAUGUUAUUUUAUGAAAAAUAAAAAUGACUUUUGUUUUAGGUUGAUGAGGAUGAGAUGGAGGAUGCCCAGUGGUUUAGGCGUCCAGAAAUAGUUCAGAUGCUGACCCACCAGCACCCCCAGGGAUUGUAUAUACCCCCAGAGCAGGCCAUAGCUCAUCAGAUCAUCAAAUCCUGGGUCCGAAACACUGCCAGCUCUAAUCUAUAACAAUAAACACUAUAUAGCCUAUAACUUUCACACAGAAUAUUAUCAUAUUACAGGGAAAAAUUUUUUUGCGAAAAUAAAUGUUUUGAAUGUCGGGUACCUGUGAUAACUUUUACCUAUUACAUUUGUAGAUGUGUUGUUUUAGUGACAUUCCAUUCAAGAAAGCUUAAAAUAUGAUGAUUUACAUGACAGAAAUUUUUUUACUGGUACAUAUGAUGUUGUACAUUUUUAAUUACAUGUAUACUUUUUUUAAUUAACGGGUAUAUAUCAUUAUGCAUACCAGUAAUUAUACCACAUAAAAUCAAUUGUUUGUUAUAACCAGUAUUAAUAAAUCAGUUUAGUAU
rnacentral:misc_RNA from 1 species